rnacentral:rRNA from 1 species
GACGAACCGUGCGAACGGUGUUCGGAUUCACUGGGCUUAAAGGGCGCGUAGGCGGUACGCCAAGUCUGGGGUGAAAUCUUUCGGCUCAACCGGAAAAUUGCCUGGGAUACUGGCGUGCUCGAGGGAGGUAGGGGCAGCGGGAACUGCCAGUGGAUCGGUGAAAUGCGUUGAUAUUGGCAGGAACGCCGGAGGCGAAAGCGCGCUGCUUGACCUCUUCUGGCGCUAAGGCGCGAAAUCUAGGGGAGCAAACGGG